rnacentral:tRNA from 1 species
GGGAGUGUAGCUCAAUUGGAUAGAGCACUCGGCUACGAACCGAGAGAUUGGGGAAUCGUGCUCCUCCACUCCUACCA